rnacentral:sRNA from 1 species
AGUGCCCCAGGAGCUAUGACAAGCAAAGGAACAUACUUGCCUGGAGAUAGCCUUUGCGAUAUUUAAAUGUCCGUGGGUACAGAAAUCUCUGCAGGCAAGUUGCUCCAGAGCAUAUUGCAGGACAAGCCUGUAACGAAUAGUUAAAUUCACGGCAUCUGGAUUCCUAAUCCUUUUCCGAAAUGGCAGGUGUGAGUGGCUGUAUAAAAUAUUCUAUGUUUACCUUCAACUUCUUGUUCUGGGUAAGUGUUUUCCUUUUAAUUAUCAAUUUUAUGCAAGAAAGGGGAUCUUGAUAUAAAUAUCAUAAACAAGAACAGACUGUACACUAGAGAAAUAAGAGAAGGGGGAAAAUGUAUUUUCCAUGUACUUGUUUGGAUUUGUUUGUUCUUUCUUUGGUUAUUUCAGUAAUUGAAAAUGAGCCAAUGACUCAAAAAAGUGCACUUCAGAAUGUGAGGAUAAACAUUUCAUAAAUGUUUUGAUAUUGCUGCAAAAACAAUCACAGAGGAACACAAAUGCCCCUUAAUUAAAGGACAAUUUUCCUUAGUUGUAUAUCAAGCAGGCCUCCCUAAUUUAAGGACUCUGUGGUAAAAACAUGGUCUGAUUCCAUCCGGAGCCCGGGUCCUGAUUCC